CACUGUGUGUGCUCGAAUUGUACCCAAGCAUCGUUCUUGAAUUCGCAGUGUCUCUUUAUGCCGGUAAUUACGCUGCGUGCCGAUAUAUCGAUUUCUAUAGGCCUCCUUGGGUGGACUGGUAGAUGCAACGACUGGAAAUCAUACGAUCAUGCAACCUCAGCUC